rnacentral:sRNA from 1 species
UAUGUCAAACAUUGCAAUACGGAAUUAAGAAAACAUGU